ACCAACCAACGGCAAAACCCGAUCGAAUAAAUAGCGAAAACAACAACAUUGGCCAACAGCCAUGUCAAUUCCAGCGACAAUAUCAGUUCCUAAACGCUCCAAAAUUCGCAACAGCUUCAACCACUUCAAUAACCAAACAAUGGCUCGUCGACCAACGACAACCCGACCCAACUCCGUUUUCCCCACCGGAUAACAGAAUUUAACAACCACAAUUCAACGGUAAAAUUAGUACCCAAGUCAAACUAGCCGUUUCCUUUCGGUUUUACCGUAUAAUAGAAUUUAACAACCACAAUUCAACGGUAAAAUUAGUACCCAAGUCAAACUAGCCGUUUCCUUUCGGUUUUACCGUCUUACCCUCUCUGUACAAUUAUUUAUAGCCAAAAACAGACCGCUUUCAGGAUAUUCAGUCUAGGAUUCACCAUUUCGGAAAAAAAGUUAAUUUUCACCUUCAGAGCAAUGUACCUCUUUUUGACCCUUUCAAAUUCAAAAUCCCAAGCUCCUCUAUAAAUAGAGGCUGAAGGGAAGAGGAAAAGGGGAGAAUUUUUGUGGAAAAAUUGGGGUUCUGAAGGCGCUUGCUUUUUUAACCUCACGAAAGACGAACACACUCCGAAAAUCAAAUUUCAGCAAAAUUGUGGAACUCCGGCAAGGCUAAUCGACAUUCCGGUGGUGAAAGUCUGUUUGUUUAAGGCUCGUUGUCCUAGUCGCUGCCCCCGAAAAGGUGAACUACUCACCCAAUUUGUUCUUUCGGUAACUAAAGUUUUCCUCUCAUGUUAAAUUUAAACUUGUUUGGUUUUUGGUAUGAAUGCUCAUUUAGUGUUCUGUGAUCACUUCACCUAGUUUUUGUUAUUGUUUUGAUUGUAAAGUAUCAAAAUAUAAACUUUAUUGGUGUUGCGAUUUUCGUGUUGAUAGGAGAAUGUUUGUUUGGGCUGGUUCUAGUUAAAAAAUAUGCGUGCUUAAUACCAGAAAAGAUCGACUUUUGAAGUUGAAAUAAACUUUAUCAUAGCCCGUCUCCAUUUCGAUAGUCUGCAGCCUUAAUCAGAUAACAUUAACUUCCUUACAAACUUCACUGUGUUUCAUAACUUAGUUUGGAGUUUAAAGAUGAUUAUUUCCUGAGAUUAUUUUGGUUUUGCUCAAAGUUCAGAAUUUAGACAGCAGCCAUGAAAUAAUUUCCCUAUAAUAAUAAAUUUCAUCCCCUUAGUUUGAUUAAUUUUCCUAAGGCAGCAACUCUUUGUUUGAUUAAUUUUCCUAAGGCAGCAACCUGAUUUGCUUUGGGUUAAACUGGUAGAACCAUCUUCCUUUACCCCAUUGGAGUUUUGAUGAAAUUAUAAUGGCUUAUUCCCGACAAUUAAAACUUGGCUCUUUUCGUGCUUACCUUUUCCUAGAUUUACACGCUUAUGUUGCGCCCCUUUGAGUAUAUUGUGACCAUGGUUGUAUGAACAAAGAAUGUAAAUGAACUACAUCCAAAACACUUUCUUUUGAUACGAGCAUGAGGAAUGGUCGGAUUACUUCGUUUGUUAUUGAGCUUUUCUUUGUAUUGAAUGAAAUUUUUUAAGCAUGGGGGGCGUUUGCUUAUGUCCUUUCAACGUCUCGCCUUUUACUUUACUUGUUCUAAAAGUAGCGAAUCCGUUCUUGUUCAGUAUGUGCUCACUGCCAUGGUAUAACUUUGGACGAAAUAAAGUAAUUGGAAUUUGUUAUGGUUGUAUGACUAUCGCAUUUGUUUAAAGCAUGUUAAUCCCAAAUUACAUUUGGUGUUUCCAUGCAUCUGAAUGUUUCCCUUUAAUUAUCAUUUACCGAAUUAAACAUACAUUAAUUCUCUCUCUCUUUUGUUUUGGUGCAUGUGACGCCAAGUCUGUCUCGGAACCCAUUUUCUACUUUAGUGGGCCAAGGAGGCCCACAAUUCAUCGAGUCAAGCCCCAACGUAGCUCAAUUGGGCUCUAAAGCAUAAAGAAAUAAGGCUGGUAUACACAGGUAUACACCAGAUAACAGGUUUUCUAGGUCCAAGGGGAUGAUACACGCGCCAAUAUACGAUGCACAAUGGAGGUGUGCAGUGUAUAUACCAAAAAACGCUGGAAAACGUGGCUCAUAUACGCUCACUAUACAGCUGGUAUACAAAUGCAGAAAAAGGACCCAAAGUCCAUAGGAAAUAGGCCCAAAGGUUGGCCAACUUCGAAAUGGGCUUAAAAGGGACCAAAUUUUAACCUUUCUUAUAUUGUAUUUGGUUAUGUGUUUGUAUUAAUUUCUUAAAAUUGGUUAACCUUAAUAGAUCCUCUUUGAAUCGUCAUUUUUGUUUGUUUUUAAAUUUUUCUUUUAAGUAUUUUAUCACAUAAGCGUAAUAUUUUAUUUUUUUUUAAAAUGGCAUUUUAUUUUAUCAAUAUGGUGAAGUAACUCAUUUAAAUUAAAAGAAUUUUCAUCAACCUAAAAUCCAUUUUCUUCAGGAGAGUUAAAAAAUAUUUUCACUAAUUUGUCAAAGUUCAUACUUUGUUUUGAAGAUAGACAUUUUUGUUAUCAAAAAUGAUUUUCAAAAAUCACUUCCUUUAUCCCUUUUUAUUUAAAAAAUAAAUAAAUAAAUAAAUAAAUAAAUAGGAAUAAUUUAUAAAAGAAAUGGGUUAGCUUAACCUUCUUUACAAAAAUUUUCUCAAGUCAAACAAGGUCAAUUUUUUUUUUUACUUGAUCGAAUAAAUGUCAUUUAAAUCUUUAGAAACUAGUAAAUAGAUAAUUUCUUGAGUUAAGGGUAAUAUUUCUAUAAAAUCACCCUUUUGCAAAAUAAUUAGCAACGUCAUGUAAGUUAGUCAAAAAUCUUUUGGUGAACCGUUUUAAAACGGAUGUUCCUAAGUGCCUUGUAAAACCUUCUUAGGACAUUAAUUGAAUCCUUACUCAAUUUCUCUUAUUUAAAAGGUUUAUUUUUGUUUUUGAAAUAUUUUUUAAGUUUUCUUGAUAUUUUCUACAAAAAUCAAGUGGUGACUCUGUGAAUUUUUUUAAAAAAUUAUUUCAAAACUUUCUUGGAUUUUUGAAAUAGUUUGAAAAAGUCAAAACCAUUUUCUUUAAAAUAAAAUCCGAAAAGGGUUGAAACCAAACUAUUUUUAUAAACUAUGUUAAGGCCUAAAAUUGCUAAUAUUUUUUAUAUUGAAAAUAUUUGUUUACACUUCUUAUAUUAAAUGAAUCGGUGAGAGUUAAUUUUAGAAAAAUAUUUGUCAAGGUGCAUUAUUGCAUCCUUGAAUUUUUAGAUGUUUCAGAAAUAUGCGUCCACCGCAUUCUUAAUUGAGACAAAUAUUUCAAGCGCGCCUAAACUUGCCUAGCAUUAAAAGGCAUUUUCGUCUCUUGUAAACUCGUAACAAUCUCUUAUCCAUUUGAAAUGCUACUUAACCUUAACAAUAACCCUAAGCAAUGUUCAUUUGAGGCGGUUUCAAGACAAAAAUUAAUUAUUUUAUAUUUGCCUAACGUUUAAAAAUUUUACCUAAGCAAAGUGUUUUCUAACCUUAACAGUAAACUUGAGCAAAAUUCAUUUAAAGUAAUAAAUUAAUUUAGCAAAUAAUUAUCAAGUUGUUAAUAAUAAUAAUAAUAAUAAUAAUAAUAAUAAUAAUAAUAAUAAUAAUAAUAAUAAUAAUAAAAUAACUGAAUAAGUCUAAUUUGAAAGCAAAUCCACGAAAAAAAAUGAAUCUCAAAAUAACAAUACCCAAAAUCUAAGCAAAAUACAAACAUAAACACGGUUCAAAGUCUGUUUUUGAGAAGAGUAGGCUAGUGGAUUAGUUUUUCUCCAGUGGAGUGACGAUAGCUUCGGAUUUUGCCGAUUUCAUGAAUUUGCCAUCAGGCGAUUGGUUUUGGGGACGGGAAAAGGAGGAAAAGAGGAGGGGCAACAGUGGGGUGGUGGGCAGCGGUGGUUUAAUGGGUUUGCUGACCGGUGGAAGGAGGUAGCCGUUGUUGCUCUGGUGGUGAGGAGUUCGCCGGACCUCGGCGCUUUGACCGGUGGCGGUGGUGGCUUGUUUUCAAACGGGUACCCGCCAUUCUCCGGUGAGGGUGGGUUUGGCCGACUUUUUCUUGGGAAUUUUUACCCGUUUUUCGGUGAGUCAGUGGACUGACGGGCUAACAGUGCUAGAAAAAUAAAUUCCGACAAGAAAAUUGCCAGAAAAUUCAGAAAAUUUGACCAUUUUUUGGCUAAUUUUUUAAUCCAAUCCCCUUUCAUCGUUUUCCUCUCAGUUUUCUCUUUUUCUCUUUUUCUCUCCUUUACCAUCUACUGUGUAGGUAUGUGUAUGUGUUGUACUGCUAUGUGAUAAAAAAUUUAAAGAGAGUGAGUGUGAAAUUGUACCGUGUCUAUUUACAUGAUUUUCUUUCUCUUUUAAUUAUGGAAAACAACUAAGUAAGGAAAAAUCCAUCCACAAACAUAAAAUUUUUCUGCACAGAAUCAUAUAUAUAAUAGCAAGUAAUUCUCGUCUAACACGAAAAUAGUGAAAAAUAUUGUAAUAAUAAUUCUUGAAAAUCCUCUUUUAAUUAUAUCAUCCAAACGAAAAUCAUGAAAUAUAAAAAACAAGAAUAAAGAAAUAGUAAAUAACGACAAGAGAAUAAGCAUAACUUGAAUAUUUUUAUACACGCUUUUCCAUAAUAAAACUUAUAAAAUAUAUUAUUUUGAACCAAAUAAGAGCCUGAUGAUUUAUAAUGAUGUAAAAAAUUCGUCACCAGAGGAUAUAAACGGAACUCUGAAAUUUGAAUCAUGACUCUUUCUCCUCUUUUCUUCUUCUUUAUUUUUGCUUUUUGUCUUUUUUUUAUUUGUCUUUCUCUCUAUUUUUCUCUCAAUGUUAGUGUAAAAAAAGUAUGUCAUUUCUUUGGGAAAGGGGUUGAGGAAUUACACUUAAAAAGGGGAUGUGGAGAGCAGUUGAGGGAGAGUGGGGUAGUUGGAUAGUUUUAGGAUGAUUAUCCCCUUUCUUUCUUUUUUUUUUUUAAUUUAUUUUAAAAUAAAUAAUAAUAAUAAUAAUAAUAAUAAUAAUAAUAAUAAUAAUAAAAGAAUAUUUACUAAUAAAUUUUUAUAUUUUAAAAAAUAAUAAAAGUUUGUAAUAAUCUAAAAUAAAUAUAACUAAGAGAACAAUAAAACUACUAGUCUAUUUAUUAAAAUUAAAAGAAAUAUAUAUAUUUUUUUAGUUUUCGUAUUAUUUUAAAACAAAAAUAAAAUUAAAAAUAUACCAAAAAUGUAACUUUAUUUAUUAUUUCUUAUUUAUUUUCAAUUAAAAUUUAUUAAAAAUAAAAUAAAAGUUAAAAUAAAUAUUGGACAAAAAUAAAAAUAUUUAAUGUCGAAAAAUAGGUUAAAACUCAGGGAGGGUAAAAAAUCACGUGUCUAUAUUUUGUCCCUCAUUGUGUGAAAUCUCGAAGAGUUUUCAUACAAAGAAGUAGAUAAAGAGAUGAGUUUUGAUUCUCCGAUUAUUUGAAAGGUGAGGAUAAAAUAAAUGUGAUGUGAUCGAGUCCUGGUUUUGGACCGCCUAUAUAUCCCGGGUGAUAAGAAAAUCAGGUCACGUGUAGUUCAAAGAGGUAAAAUUGUGAGAAAAUGAGUUAGUGGUCGAUUCAGGUUCCGUCAAGUCUUUGGUUCACGGCAUUCUACAUUUACAUUCAAAUGAAUAACAAAAAAAAAACAAAGAUACAAGUGAAAGAUCCUAUCUAUGCACAACUUUUCUGGAAUCUUGACUUGAAUCUUCAUGACUUCUCAAGUGGUGAGAUAGUUGUUAUUUUGAUUUGACUUUGGAAAAUGAAAUGUUCCUCCAUGUUGAUUCUUAGCACUAGAUAGGAACUUAAAAAUUGACUUAUUCUUCAAACUUUCUUCUGACGUGAACUUGAAAAUUUCCACCCUAUUCUUCAGGCAGGUUCCCAAACUUGCAACUGAUAAUUUUCAGUUUAUUCUCCAGGUGAGCUACUGACUUGCUAUUUCAUCACCGUAUUUUUCAGGUGGGCUCCUGACUUGCAACUUCUUCACCAUGUUCUCCAAAUGGGCUUUUGACUUGCUAUUUUAUUACCCUGUUCUCCAGGCGGGCUACUGCUUGCUAUUUCUAAUUUUUCAAACAUGUUGCUGAACUCAAAAUAAAAUGUGAACUAGAAAGAAAAGUUUCAUUAUCCAGAAGGGUCCUGAGCAUAAACUAAAUUCCCAUUAUCCAGGAAGGUCCUGAGCAGAAAGUAAAUUCCCAUUACCCAGGAGGGUCCUGAGCAAAAAAGAUAAAGUCCCAUUAUCUAGGAAGGUCCUGAGCAGAAAUAAAAGUCUCAUUAUC
rnacentral:lncRNA from 1 species